UACGGAGGAUGCAAGCGUUAUCCGGAUUGAUUGGGCGUAAAGCGUCUGUAGGUGGUUACGCUAGUCGGCUGUUAAAGAUCAGGGCUGAACCCUGAGCAAGCAGUCGAAACUGCGUGGCUGGAGUACGGUAGGGGCAGAGGGAAUUCCCGGUGGUAGCGGUGAAAUUCGUAGAUAUUCGCAAGAACACCAGUGGCGAAGGCG
rnacentral:rRNA from 1 species